rnacentral:rRNA from 1 species
GACGAACGCUGGCGGCGUGCUUAACACAUGCAAGUCGAACGGAAAGGCCCUGCUUGCGGGGUACUCGAGUGGCGAACGGGUGAGUAACACGUGGGUGAUCUGCCCUGCACUUCGGGAUAAGCCUGGGAAACUGGGUCUAACACCGGAUAGGAGCCAUUUUUAGUGUGAUGGUUGGAAAGUUUUUUCGGUGUAGGAUGAGCUCGCGGCCUAGCAGCUUGUUGGUGGGGUAAUGGCCUACCAAGGCGGCGACGGGUAGCCGGCCUGAGAGGGUGGACGGCCACAUUGAGACUGAGAUGCGGCCCAGACUGCUACGGGAGGCAGAAGUGGGGAAUAUUGCACAAUGGGCGCAAGCCUGAUGCAGCGACGCCGCGUGGGGGAUGACGGCCUUCGGGUUGUAAACUCAUUUCGCUAGGGACGAAGCUUUUUGUGACGGUACCUAGAUAAGAAGCACCGGCUAACUACGUG